UGCGGAAUAACUACUCGAAAGGGUAGCUAAUACCGCAUGUGGUCUCAGAUCGUUGGAUUUGAGAAGAAAGGGGGGUCGUAAGAUCUCUCGCCAUUAGAUGAGCCUGGGCACGAUUAGCUAGUUGGUGAGGUAAUGGCUCACCAAGGCGACGAUCGUUAGCUGGUCUGAGAGGAUGACCAGCCACACUGGAACUGACACACGGUCCAG
rnacentral:rRNA from 1 species